UAGUUGCAGAAAUUCACCCCAAAGGGAGAAUCGUGUUCAUAGGGAAAGCACAAGAAGUGUGACUUCUAUCAUGCUUUUUCCACAUGAACUUACAGAUGCAUUCCUUAUAAUUGCCACCACUGUAACUGUCAACCGUCCACUUUGCCAAAUUCUAUGACCUCUGCAAUAUUUUCCUUAAAAUUCUUUGGAAAAUGUUUCAGUUGAAUUAAAAAGAAUCAUAGGAAGAUAUUCUGGUUGAUAUCUUUUGGAGAAAGAUCUCAGUUGAUGAGUCUUACGUUUGACAUAUUAUUUGACUCUAAGAUCUAUUUCAAAUGGAUUAAGAACAUAUUUUAUUCUUCCCACGUAUCAUUCUCCUCUUUAACUAUUCUAAUUACUCUAUAAUUUUACUGGUAAGUUAUUCCUUUUUUUGUAAUUCAGAUAGCGAAUUAGAAUUAUACGACGUGCCAAAGAAAAUAAAGAAAAAGUAAAAUAUGUCAAUACUUGUGCUUUCAAUUACAUCUGAAAUUAAUUAAACAAAUUCUACUAUAAGAUGGUUGCUCAAAGUUAACAGGUUGAUCUAUUCAUAUAUAUUUGCUUGAAGUCAGAAAAUACUUUUCUAGUUAGUUAGUAGUGAAUUUUUAAGCAUAUGCAAUCUAAAUGCGGACAUACAUAAUAGAAUCCUUCUUCAAAGGCAUUCCUGAUGUUGCUCCUGCUGCGAUUGGUCAGCCAUAUCUAGUUUUCAUGAUGUUUUAUUGAUUAAUUUUCGAUGCUUUUUAAGCUUUUAUUGUUCAGCUAGUCACAAUGAAGUUUCUAGCAAAACAAUAAUGCCGUGGGAGUUUUUAGUCUCAUAACCUUCUACACAUUCUUCCUGCUGCCUUAGCUGAAAAUACACCACCACCACCACCACCACCACCACCCCUUUAUUUUUUCCGGUAAACUCUAAAGUGAUUCAAAAACUAAUUACCAAGUUAUCACCUUUAUGAUGUUAAAUUCCCAUACUCCACAUCGAUUAUAUUGACAACGAAAGCACAUUAUAAAAUGUUUUAAUAGUUGAAAUAACAAAUAAAGGAAGUAAAGUAAAAACUUGUCAUUUCGGAUCAACGAAUCAAUUUCAACCCUCAUUCAAGAGGAGGUUUUGAAGAUAAAAUAAAAGAGAAAUAAUGGAAAAGAAAAAACUCGGUCAGGGAAAGAACAAGACUAUAAGAGCAUAGAUGAGGAACCAAUGCGCAAAGCAGUCGGGCAAUGUAGACAAAUCUAAAAAAGGGGGUUAUACAUCAAAAUUUCAAUCAGCGAUUAUCAAAAAUUUCACCAGUUAUAUACCUCAAAAGAAAUCAAAAUUUCAAAGGGGUUACACCUCAAAAUUAGCAGAGAAUCAAUCUUUAACUAAUUAAUAUAAUAAAUAAAGAAAAUAAAUGAAAAUACAGAAACAAUUUAAAAAUAGCAAUUUAAGGGGUUAUACCACAAUAUUCCAAUUCAGAAGUUUGAAAGCUCCAAGAGUGCUCUAUCCGGCAAGAAUCAUGUGAGCGUUUUCUUUGAUCGGCACAGAUAUUACAGUAGCACACAACUUUAUCCCAAAUUGUGAAAUACAGUUGCAUUCGAAAUCUGAUUUCAUCUCAAUUCAUUAAACCGCCUAUAUCAAGAGCACAAUCUGUCACCAAUUCCACCACCUUGAGUCGAAUUUCGAUCUUCUAUUUUAUAUUUAUUUAAAAAGAGAAGUAGUCCAAAUGCUUGAACAAUUCCCUUUGUAGUAGUCUAAAGAACUGAAAAGAAAUAAAGUUAUUGGCACAUACCUCGUUUACUCAUCUCUGUCUUCAACUAUGGGUUUAACCACUGGGAUACCGCAUUGGUAUAACAAAAAUAAGAAAAAGAUAGAAGCUCAAAUGAUAGACCACUGGACAAAGUAAAAAAGUGAAAGAAAGCUAGUUGGAGAACUGAGCUAUAGAACAACAACAACAACAACGACCCAUUAUAAUCCCACAAGUGGGGUCUGGGAGGGUAAUAUGUACGCAGACCUUACCCCUGCCCCGAAGGUUAGAGAGGCUGUUUCCAGGAGAC
rnacentral:lncRNA from 1 species